GCGGAGGAAAAGAACCAACAGGGAUUGCCCUAGUAACGGCGAGUGAAGCGGCAACAGCUCAAAUUUGAAAUCUGGCCUCGGCCCGAGUUGUAAUUUGCAGAGGAUGCUUCUGGCGCGGUGCCUUCCGAGUUCCCUGGAACGGGACGCCACAGAGGGUGAGAGCCCCGUAUGGUCGGACACCAAGCCUGUGUGAAGCUCCUUCGACGAGUCGAGUAGUUUGGGAAUGCUGCUCUAAAUGGGAGGUAAAUCUCUUCUAAAGCUAAAUACCGGCCAGAGACCGAUAGCGCACAAGUAGAGUGAUCGAAAGAUGAAAAGCACCUUGAAAAGGGGGUUAAAUAGUACGUGAAAUUGUUGAAAGGGAAGCACUUGUGACCAGACUUGGGCCGGGCGGCUCAUCAGGGGUUCUCCCCUGUGCACUCCGCCCGGCACAGGCCAGCAUCGGUUCUCGUGGGGGGAUAAGACCGUCAGGAACGUAGCACCCUCCGGGGUGUGUUAUAGCCUGGCGGACGAUACCCCCGUGGGGACCGAGGUUCGCGCUCCGCAAGGAUGCUGGCGUAAUGGUCACCAGUGACCCGUCUUGAAACACGGACCAAGGAGUCGUCCAUUAGAGCGAGCGUUUGGGUGUAAAACCCGCACGCGUAAUGAAAGUGAACGCAGGUGAGAGCUUCGGCGCAUCAUCGACCGAUCCUGAUGUUCUCGGAAGGAUUUGAGUAAGAGUUUUAACGGACGGACCCGAAAGACAGUGAACUAUGCUUGUAUAGGGUGAAGCCAGAGGAAACUCUGGUGGAGGCUCGCAGCGGUUCUGACGUGCAAAUCGAUCGUCAAAUAUGAGCAUGGGG
rnacentral:sRNA from 1 species